GACGGAGGGUGCUAGCGUUGUUCGGAAUCACUGGGCGUAAAGGGCGCGUAGGCGGCCUUGGCGGUCGGCUUGUGAAAGCCCGGGGCUCAACCCCGGAGGUGCGGCCGAAACACCAAGGCUGGAGGCCGGAAGAGGAGGGUGGAAUACCCAGUGUAGAGGUGAAAUUCGUAGAUAUUGGGUGGAACACCGGUGGCGAAAGCGGCUCUCUGGUCCGGGCCUGACGCUGAGGCGCGAAAGCGUGGGGAGCAAACAGGAUUAGAAACCCGCGUAGUCC
rnacentral:rRNA from 1 species